UCAAAAAUAACUUUGGAGGCCGAACGUCUUCGACGUCGACGACAACGUCUAAAUCGAGGGUAAGGAUGAUUAUUUUGUCCUAGCACGGAUCGUGUCAUCCUCGUUUCAAGUGGCUAAAUAAUACCUUUGCGGCAUCCCUGACUAAUAAGCUAAUAACCUCGCAAAUUAGUGCCUUCUAAUAUUUAUUUUCGAAUCUUCAUUGAUAGAAUGAUUGACAUCAACCACACAGUCAACUAGAUAUGUUAUAGUUACGUCAACAAUCAAAAUAACAGCUGCUAACAAUCGACUUUUCCAGUCAAGCCUGCGGACACAGGUUACGGAAUGACUAUCACUGAUACUUGGAAUAUUGGCAAGACUUGCGCAACCGCCACUAGUACCCAUGAAAUUACGCCUGCGUAUCUAUCAAAUGCAUCAACUACGCAGGUUUCGCGGGUGGUUCGAUGGUAAUGAUAGAACAUAGGCUGGGUAAAAUGAAAUUUAGCUGAUCGUAUCAUUGACUUGUGCUACUUAGUUACAGUAAUCUUAAAAUAAGAGCGAAUGAAUCUUGAUGAUCAGCUCAACCAAGCAAGAAGAUGAAGUGAUUGUUCAACGACAUUUUCUAUUGAUAUUCUUGAAAUAUUUGACGGGUAGCCAAUUGUAUUAUAUAAAUUAAUGAAGCACUGGAUAAAUGUUAAAAGUAGAUUUUGAGAUUCUUGUCAGGCAAGAAAAGUUUAUUCAGUGUUUGAAAUAACCCAUUCAGAAGAAAAGAAAAAAAUACCAUCAAAGUUUCUUUCUACUUAAUUAAUU